rnacentral:lncRNA from 1 species
GGAGUAUGUCCUCCCAGAGGAAGAACAGCUGUGAAGCUCCUGUGUCACAGCCCAAACUGCAACACAGAGUGUGUUUGCGUGUCUGCAGCUAGACACUGUGCUGCAAAUUUUCAGCCUUCUUUCACAGUAUUUAUGACAGCUACAGCAGCUUUGGGAAAUGAGAUGUCUUUGGCAUGAACACCUGGAUCACUCUGGUGGGAUAACAGAUUUAGGUGCCAAACUGCUUUGCUGAAUGCCCACUCAGCUCUGGGAUCCUGGUUUCUUUUUACCCCCGUGGCUUUGUCCGCAAUUGCAAAUGCUGUUAGAGGUUAUCCUCCAGUGACUUCAGAGAAAAUGGCCUUUACUUGAAGCUUACUUAUUCCAAAACUGUUUUCUCCUUCUUGUUACCUAUUUCUAUCCUUCCCUGACAACACAUACACACUAUUUUUUAGAUAUUUUUUCUUCAUUUAUUUCAGAAACUAAUGCUAACUCCUAUUUUUCUGUUGCAGCUUUUUCUGUACCCGUUCCCCAACUGAAUCUCUUGGGCAGAGAAAGAACGUGUACCUGUGCCCCUUACAACAUGGCCUUGGGCAGCAGAAAGGUUUACAGAUCACAUAUGGAACUUUAUGCCUUCAGGCUGAGGGACUGCAGGAAGGGCGGUGAGGCUGCAAUAGAGCAGUCCUGCCAAAGGCAAGUACUAGCAAGUAGUACAAACUGUAAUCCUGUAUUAAUCCUUAAUAGAUUAUAGGUCUUCCAAGGUCAGCAAUGGAGGUUUAAAAACAGACUCUUCAAACUUCAGCUGUUCCCUCCUGGAUCUCCUAAGUGUAAGUGCCAGCUGCACCCAUCACCUGUCCUUGCAAGAGGUAGAGCAGGACCCCCAGAGAAAUGCUGUGUUACAUAGUCUGUUAGCAGUGAACACAUUGGGAGAUGUUCAUUUACCACAUCUGUGUUAUUUGUUCUGCAGGUGCAGGAAUACACAGCACACACGAGGCUCCAUCCAGCCCUGAGCCGGGCUCCUCACCUUCAUCCUGGCUUCAGAUUCACAGCAAGAGCAGGGGAAGAUGGGCAGGUUCCCACAGCUGCAGCUCUGGAUCCUACAUCCUGUAGCUCGGUCUCACCCAGCUCCUCAUGUGGCUGGGAGAGCACUGUCAUGUCUGGGCCGCUCUAGCUAGUCCCUGCCACUCUCUUGUUUUUCUCUUUUGAUUCUUUCAGUCACCUGUAAUUUUCCCUCCACUUCAGUUGUAGUCCCCAGAAUCAUUUGUUUCCCUUCAUUUUUCUUUCCAAGGCUAUUUUAGGGUUUGGUUGCUCUAGAAUCUGGGGGAAAAUCAGUAAGAUUUUUUGUUUCUGCUUGAUUUGUGACAGGAAACAUGACUACAUUGCAUUAUUUUUUUUUUUAAGUUAUUCCUAGUUCUUUGUAACUUCCACACCAUUGAGCUGUGGUUAGUUUUUGCUUAGUUUUUCUUGUAUGUGUAUUGUAGCUAAAUUCUUGCAUGUUUAGCUGAAAGAAAAAAAAUAAAGCAGGCUUUAUAAUGAUAUUUUUUCCA